UAUGAGUUCAAGGCCACAUUGGACUACAUAUACCAAGUUUCAGGCCAGUCAAGGUGAAUUCUAAGCCCCCAAUAAAUAAAUAUAUAGGUGAAUAAAUAGAUAAAAUCAGAGACUUACAUUCAGCUCCUCCAUGUUGGUAUCCUGAAGAGGUUAUGGGCUCUGUGGGUGCCUCAGUUUGCUUAUAUGUAAAGUGGGGAUGGUGAUUGAUUUUAUAUAUAUAUAUAUAUAUAUAUGUGUAUAUGUAUAUGUAUAUAUAUAUAUGGGUUAUUAACAUAUUAAUCUAUGAAAAGUACAUGGGUGUUGUCUGGCACAGACGUGUUCAGCAACUGUGUUAGGAGCAUGUGUCUGAACACAUGUGGACAGAUGUUGAGAGGACUGCCCCCUCUUAUCUUCCUGCUUAUGGUUCUCUUUGCCUCCCAGUUCCAUGUCUACUGCUUCAGUCAGCCAGUGGUUUGCUUCUCACAGAGAGAACCCAGGCCGGGUAGGCCUUCCUAAAAGACACAAUUUCAGCUUUUUCCCUGGUUGGUGCCCUCAGAAAAGGUCUGCAGGAGCGUCCCGAGGGGAGAAGGGCACAGCGGAAAAGUUGGAGCUUUUGUGCGAAAUGAGAAGGUGGGGUGUUUCAAUGUGAGAACUAACACAGAUCAUUUAGUGAGCUCUCAUGUUAAUGACUUUAAAUGCAUAUUAACUUAAGCUGUACAACAGUCCCCCGAGAUAGGCUGGGCAAUCAAUUCCUUUUUUCCUAGAUGAGAAACUGAGGUUCAGAUGUAUAAGAUAGGCAGUGAUAGAAACCAGCUGGUUCAAAACCUACACUCUCAGCUAGCAGGGACUGAUAGAGGUCUGGGACAGGAUCUCUUCCCCCACCCCCACCUCUGGUCCAUGGUGCGGUAAGUGGGGAGAAAAAGAUUGUUUCAUUAAGGUAAUAAUAGCAUUUAAACAUUUAAAAACAGUCUUUUAUUUUGAGAUUCUGCCCUAUAGUUUUGGGUUACUCUUUCUUUAUGAUUCUGCUGGUUAUUUCUUUAAAAGGCUUUACUUGCCAAACAGGAUUUAUACCCUUGUGUUUGUUUCUUAGAUGAAACGUAGCCUUUCUAAUCCAUGGGUUUAUACGUGGAGCCUUGCCCCGUCCCCUCCAAGCUGUCUCCGUAGUGUCAGGACCAGGCAAGUGUUGAUGCACUGUGUGGAGUCUGGAGACAGCCUGUGCCUCUCACCCUUAGCCUCCAAGCUAGUAGUAGAGGCUGAGGACUUUGGUGUCCUGUCAUGCUCACCUGGAGGGGCUCUGCUUUGCCUUUCAGCCGGUUCCCUAGGGAUCUGCCUGGCCUCAGGUCCUGAAAGGGAUCAUGGGAGGUCAGCAACAUACCAAGGUAUCAGCAUUACCUUUCUCUGAGUUCCUGCUGUGUGCUUUUCAAAAUUGAUGCUCCUGCCGUUCCAUAGAUAAGAAAACCAAAAUUGAGAGGUUAAACAACUCGCUGAGGGCCAUCUCCAGAGUGUUAACACCCUGAUCCAAGCCCUUUUAUGUCUCCACAAAGCUUAUCUGUGUUGGCAACCUCUAUUAGAUGGGAGGAGAACCUAGGCCUGCUGUCUUGUUCCACGCACCAGUCCUCUGAGAUAGGCUGCGUAAUUAUCUGUAGUUUUGUAGCUAGGAGUGCUAGUCCAGCCUUAGUUACCCUGGGUUUGGUAUCAUCAUACAGAGGUGGGAGCAAAAUAUUAAUAUCCAUCAAAAAGAGGUUUGCAUUGCUUCAGUCUCUUUCCUCUUAGGGUUUCAGGUGUGUUUGGGGGGAGGGGGAGGGGGGGGACUGGGUGGGGGUGGGUGAUGGAAUCAAGCCCAGGGCUAGGCAAGUGCUUCCUCACUGAGCUCUAAGCCUAGCUCCCCAAUUCUCCUGUCUUCCCUGUCUGUCUUCCAGCUUUGUAACUAUGUAACGCUUUCAGAUUUUAGUAGCUGUCACAUGUGCCAUAACAUUUGAUAGAUUAUCAUGUGAUAUAGGCAGGAUCAUUGUUAUUUUUCCAUUUAGUAGAGGAGAAAAUGGAGUUCCAGAGAAGUUAGAUGGCUUGUGCGAGGCUGCAGGCUGAAAUGAAGGAAGUGGCUGGGAUGCACCGUUCUUAAUCUCCCCAGCUUCUGGGCCAUGUUCCCUCUGAAGGCAGGCAGGGAAGCUGCUCAGAGAGCCUCUGACAGAGCUGCACCCUCCUGCCUUCCCUUUGCUCUCCAGCUCUUCCCAGGGCUCCAGGCCAGUCGUGCUGGCCAGUCUCUCAGAGGAGGUUUUGACCUGGAAAAGGCUGGGGGUUUCGGUGGAGGAGGAGAAAGAGGUUGCUGUGUUCUUGAUCUUGAAAUAUGAGACCAGAGAGUAGAAAGUCCUAGGAGCCUAGAUGCAGAGUGGCUCUCAGCGUGGAGAAGGGAGCCAUGCACGCAUGCUCGGGGAAGGGCUACUCCCGGUUUAGCCUGGAAUAGUAGUAGUACUAGGUGUUGUUCCAUUUUAUAGAUGGAUAAGCAGAGGCCUAAAUAAGUUAAACAAGUUGUCCAAGAGGACAUAGCCAAAGGUAGACAGUCAGGAUGAGAAACUGUCAGUGACUUGAGUAUAGUGAAUGGGAACAGAUCACAGAAAGACACUCCUGAAGGCUGUGGGUGGUGGCCUCUUUAGUAGUGUUGACACAUGCAAGCCUGGAGGUGGGGGUCCCAUGUUAUGGGAGCGUACACUGCCCUUCCCCAGGCACAUCUGGACAGCAGCAUCUGUGGCUGUCCUGGCCCUUCCAUUCACCACAGAAAGGCCUGGUGUGAAAGCGUUUCUAUCCCACCACUUUUCUUUGUGGCUGUAGCAGCCCUCUUGGCUCCUUGUGUUGCAUGUUCUGCAUCUCCUCUCAUAGGUGUGCACGCUGCCAGGCUGGCAGAGCCAGAGCCCUUGUGUCCCCUGCUCCCUGACUCUGGCCCCUCUGCGUCUUUCAUCCCCUGCUCUCUUCACCUUUCCAAUCUUGCUUUUCAGACAGCGUGGACUUGAUGGAGUCCUUACGGCACCCAGGAUGGAAGCUUCUGCAGCUCCCAGUUGCCCCUGAAGAUCAUUUUUCUUUCUAUUCUGCUCUCCCUCUGUCUAUCAGCUUCUCCCAUGUGGAAGGGGGCUCCCAGUUUCUCCUUCCUACACAUUUAAUUUCUUCAGCAACUUUUAUUAACCUCGCUCGUCUCUGGGGACUGCAGUGCUCAUCCGUCUCUGCCCUUCUCAAACCCAUUCGACAAAAUUGGGAUGGUAUUGAAAUAAAUGGGCCCUGCAGCCAGCCACCCUCUUCAAGAUGGAGGCUCUUAAAUCUGGGCUAGAAAUCUCUAGCAAAUGCCAUUAGUUUUCCAGGAGAUAAUACUACUGCUUCACUCUGGGUCUGAGCCCUGGGAAGGUGCUGUCAGAAUCUCCCAGAAUACCAUGGGGUCUGGGUUUUUGAGUCAGAGAAGGGAUAGCAGAAUUCUGAGUCUCAUGUGGCACUCAAGGCCCAGUGGGGCUAUUUCAGGAAGCGAUUCUACGUGUGUUAUCUCUCUCCCCAGCUUCCUAACUUGGCUUAAGAAUAAUAAAUUCUUCUUUAGGACAGGAUUGCUUGUUCUCUCUGACCUGCAUUUCCUUCUGAGGCAAUAUGAGGAGUAUAUCCUAACCGGAGGCUGUGGAGAAAAUGCAGAAUUAGUUAUUUCCCUCACCAGGAAUGUUCAGUCACUCAUGGCUUCAUGAUCAGAACGGUAUAGCCAUGUAUGGAAUAAUGGUGGCAAGGCCUUCAGAGAGAUGCGUCAUUAGGUACUUUCUUCAGCUGGGUCAACAUCACAGCGUACGUAGCACAAUCCUAUUGCUAGGCGGUAGAAUCUUGUGCUUCCUUAGGGGUAGGCAUUUUCUCACUGACCCCAAGCAUCAUUACGGGACUGGAAUGAAGCCUAGUGGUUGAGCGCAUGCUAAUGUGCAAGCCCCACCUGCACUCAGCCUUCAGCACCACCAAUAGAACCAUACUGCGAGAAAGCAUGUGGAUAGAUUGCAUACUACAAGAUGAGUAAGUUACUCUCUCUACUCCUAAGGGUCUUUAUCUUUUAUGUGAAAUUAUUCAACUCCAUUGGCCUCAGUUUCUUCUUCCACAAAAUGGGGACAACU
rnacentral:lncRNA from 1 species